rfam:Myotis davidii contig53381, whole genome shotgun sequence.
GUCUGUUUUGCUCAGUGGUUAGAGCGUUGGCCUGAGGACCUAAGGGUCGCAGGUUCUAUUCCUGGUCAAGGGCA